UACAGAGGUCCCAAGCGUUGUUCGGAUUUACUGGGCGUAAAGGGUGCGUAGGCGGUGGGGUAAGUUUGAGGUGAAAGCUCCGGGCUCAACCCGGAAAAUGCCUUGAAAACUAUCCGGCUAGAGGGUUGGAGGGGAGACUGGAUUCUCGGUGUAGCAGUGAAAUGCGUAGAUCUCGAGAGGAACACCAGUGGCGAAGGCGGGUCUCUGGACAACACCUGACGCUGGAGGAAGCGAAAAGCGUGGGGGAGCGAACAGG
rnacentral:rRNA from 1 species